rnacentral:lncRNA from 1 species
UGGUGGAAAAGUCUCAGAAAGCCACUGCCCCAAACAAGCCACCUGCAUUAUCAAACACAGAGAAGAGGAAUCAUUCCGCCUUUUGGGGACCAGAGAGUCAAAUCAUUCCUGUGAUGCCAGAUAGUAGUUCCUCAGGGAAGAACAGAAAAGAGGAAAGUUAUAUAUUUGAGUCAAAGGGUGAUGGAGGAGGAGGGGAACACCCAGCCCCAGAAACAGGUGCAGUGCUACCCCUGGCGCUGGGUUUGGCUAUCACUGCUCUGCUGCUUCUCAUGGUUGCAUGCCGACUACGACUGGUGAAACAGAAACUGAAAAAAGCUCGUCCCAUUACAUCUGAGGAAUCGGACUACCUCAUAAAUGGGAUGUAUCUAUAGUAAUGUAAUUUCAAUACCUUGGGGCAGGGACAUGUUUUGUUUAUAAUUUAUACAUCUAUUAAGUUCUGGAUAUUUACAGCUUCUUUUGUUUUUAAUUGGGCCAGAAGAUUCUGCAAAUCCCAAAUCUUUCUUUAUUAUUUAUUGUAAAAAAAGUUUCCUUAGAAGUCAUAAAAUAUUUUGAAAUUUAGAGAGGAAUUCAUGAUUAAAGAUUCCUAAAAAUAUAAUUCUGAUUUAUGUAAGCUGUCCCUGAAAAUAGAAAUGUGUACUUAGCUGAGAGAAAAUUCAGCAUCUCAGGAGGUGGUAUUAGGAUGACUGUGUUAACCCAUUACCUUUUAGAAGCCAACUGUUGGCCCCUUACCAUGCUGGACUGCUAUAGGCCCAGCUUCCCCUUGUUCUGUGGCCCUUUUCUUCCUCCUUGAAGCUCCCAGUAUUCUUUUUCUUUUCCCCUCUAAACCUGUUUCUGAGAGUGGAUCUCAAGCAAGUUCAUGCCUUCAAUCAGAUGUUACUUAGGGUGGGUAUACCUAAAUUAUAAACCUUAUGUACAAGUCAGUAAGCCUUAGGGAAGGUGAGUGUGGGUCCUUCCUAAUCCCUCUGACGUCAUGUCAUAUAGGUGGCUGCCUCCUUAGACUGACCUUUGGGAGAAAAAAACCCCAGACUUUGAAUUAGUAACAGCUCUAAGAUGGUCAUGCAGUGAGAUAGGAAAUCAAGAUGGAAGCAGAGAAUCUGGCAUGCCAAAAACUAACAGAAACUUAGUUGAAGGCAAAGAGAGCAAGGAGAACGUUUAAUACUUCAUUACAUCAAAUCAACACUGCUCCAUGGUGAGAGCACAGCAACUCAUUUAUAUAUAUAUAUAUAGGCUUUGUUGAUGAAAAACGACAAUUGAAGAGAGGACGUUGAGUGGAUUCCUGGGUACAGCUUUUGUAAAAAUGUCACCAUGGCUUUCAUCCAAUGGAAUGAGUCGAUGUUUUUUAAUGCUAUAAAAUGUUAGAAUGUGCCAUCAGCUAAUGCCAGGCUUACGUAUUUCUAGACCAUAAAGCAGUUUUUCACAAAUUCAUCUUUACAGAAAACCAGCAUCUAGCUUAGCAUCUUUCCCCUUUUAAUUUGUAGGCUUUUAAAGGCAAAUCAUUCCCACCAUCACUUAACGCCGGGAUUAUACACAUUCUAGAAAUGAUUCUGAGAGGAGUGUAUAGUAUGGUGCCUAUCUACACUCACAUGAUAUUCUUAUUCACGUUUUUUUUAACCAUAAGUGGCAAAUAUUUUAAAAUAUUUGAAAAACACUCCAGAAUCUAGUACGCUUUAUUUUUAGACUGAACCUAAAGUAGGUUGUUCUUUUAACAAAGGGUUUAAUUCGGGUGGGGAAUAUAACAUAUCAAAAUACAUGAACAAAUGGAAAGUUACUUCUAGAAAAGCAAAGAAAUUGGGUAUCAUUUUUGUUUCUUGGGAAGCUAAUUUUGUUGAAUGUUUAGAAUUGAGCAAAGAUGUAAAUUUUUGAAGGGCAGUUUAGAAAAAUUAACUUUGUGAAUGAACUUAAGAUGUCUGUACUCUAUAUGUGAUGCUGUGCAGUUUGUUUUUAUAUGGAAAGAUGUCAACUAUAGCCAUAACCAAUAAAAUAAAAACUGAUGAGGCAUGCAGCUUUCAGCACAUCUUUUAUACAUGAAGAAAUUAAUUUUGUGUUGCUAUGGUGUUGAAAUAUCCAAGAUGUUCUGUAUCUAUGUAAACAUGAUUCCUUUAAUAAAUUGUAUUUUAUUAUU